GGAAUAUUGGACAAUGGGCGCAAGCCUGAUCCAGCCAUGCCGCGUGAGUGAAGAAGGCCUUAGGGUUGUAAAGCUCUUUCGGCGGGGAAGAUUAUGACGGUACCCGCAGAAGAAGCCCCGGCUAACUCCGUGCCAGCAGCCGCGGUAAUACGGAGGGGGCUAGCGUUGUUCGGAAUUACUGGGCGUAAAGCGCACGCAGGCGGUGCGGUCAGUCGGAUGUGAAAUCCCAGGGCUCAACCCUGGAAUUGCAUUCGAUACUGCCGCGCUGGAGGACGGAAGAGGAGAGUGGAAUUCCCAGUGUAGAGGUGAAAUUCGUAGAUAUUGGGAAGAACACCAGUGGCGAAGGCGGCUCUCUGGUCCGUUUCUGACGCUCAUGUGCGAAAGCGUGGGGAGCAAACAGGAUUAGAAACCCGGGUAGUCC
rnacentral:rRNA from 1 species